rnacentral:rRNA from 1 species
CCUACGGGAGGCAGCAGUGGGGAAUCUUGCGCAAUGGGCGAAAGCCUGACGCAGCCAUGCCGCGUGUAUGAUGAAGGUCUUAGGAUUGUAAAAUACUUUCACCGGUGAAGAUAAUGACUGUAGCCGGAGAAGAAGCCCCGGCUAACUUCGUGCCAGCAGCCGCGGUAAUACGAAGGGGGCUAGCGUUGCUCGGAAUUACUGGGCGUAAAGGGAGCGUAGGCGGACAUUUAAGUCAGAGGUGAAAUCCCGGAGCUUAACUUCGGAACUGCCUUUGAUACUGGGUGUCUUGAGUGUGAGAGAGGUAUGUGGAACUCCGAGUGUAGAGGUGAAAUUCGUAGAUAUUCGGAAGAACACCAGUGGCGAAGGCGACAUACUGGCUCAUUACUGACGCUGAGGCUCGAAAGCGUGGGGAGCAAACAGGAUUAGAUACCCUGGUAGUCCACGCCGUAAACGAUGAUUGCUAGUUGUCGGGAAGCUUGCUUCUCGGUGACGCAGCUAACGCAUUAAGCAAUCCGCCUGGGGAGUACGGUCGCAAGAUUAAAACCUUAGAAAGUAGUAGGCGUGAGAGUCGCGACGAGACACGACGGAGGAGG